rfam:Salmo salar isolate Sally breed double haploid chromosome ssa22, whole genome shotgun sequence.
CUGGGCUAUGGGGACAUGUACCCGGAGACCUGUUCCGGCAUGGUAAUUGGAGCCCUGUGUGCUCUGGCAGGUAUUCUGACCAUAGCCAUGCCUGUCCCAGUCAUAGUCAAUAAC